ACUGAACGCUGGCGGCAGGCCUAACACAUGCAAGUCGAACGAGUGGCGGACGGGUGAGUAACGUCUGGGAAACUGCUCGAUGGAGGGGGAUAACUACUGGAAACGGUAGCUAAUACCGCAUACCAUCGGAUGUGCCCAGAUGGGAUUAGCCAGUAGGUGGGGUAACGGCUAACCUAGGCGACGAUCCCUAGCUGGUCUGCGAGGAUGACCGGCCACACUGGAACUGAGACACGGUCCAGACUCCUACGGGAGGCAGCAGUGGGGAAUAUUGCACAAUGGGCGCAAGCCUGAUGCAGCCAUGCCGCGUGAAUGAAGAAGGCCUUCGGGUUUUAAAGUACUUUCAGCGAGGAGGCGUUACUCGCAGAGUAAGCACCGGCUAACUCCGUGCCAGCAGCCGCGGUAAUUC
rnacentral:rRNA from 1 species